rnacentral:rRNA from 1 species
GGCUCAGAACGAACGCUGGCGGCGUGCCUAACACAUGCAAGUCGAGCGCGAACGUCACCUUCGGGUGGCCAGUAGAGCGGCGCACGGGUGAGUAACACGUGGGUAAUCUACCUUUGGGUUCGGAACAACCUGGGGAAACUCGGGCUAAUGCCGGAUACGACCACGGAGCACAAGCUUCGUGGGGAAAGCGGGGGAUCUCUUCGGAGACCUCGCACCCUUAGAUGAGCCCGCGGCCCAUCAGCUAGUUGGCGGGGUAACGGCCCACCAAGGCUAAGACGGGUAGCUGGUCUGAGAGGAUGAUCAGCCACACUGGAACUGAGAAACGGUCCAGACUCCUACGGGAGGCAGCAGUGGGGAAUAUUGGACAAUGGGCGCAAGCCUGAUCCAGCAACGCCGCGUGAGUGAUGAAGGUCUUCGGAUCGUAAAGCUCUGUCGGUGGGAACGAUGCAUUCACCGGAUAACACCCGGUGGAUCUGACGGUACCUGCAAAGGAAGCACCGGCUAACUCUGUGCCAGCAGCCGCGGUAAGACAGAGGGUGCUAGCGUUGUUCGGAAUUAUUGGGCGUAAAGGGCGCGUAGGCGGCUUUGUAAGUCGAAUGUGAAAGCCCACGGCUCAACCGUGGAAGUGCAUUCGAAACUGCAUAGCUUGAGUGCCGGAGAGGGUGGUGGAAUUCCUGGUGUAGAGGUGAAAUUCGUAGAUAUCAGGAGGAACACCCGUGGCGAAGGCGACCACCUGGACGGACACUGACGCUGAGGCGCGAAAGCGUGGGGAGCAAACAGGAUUAGAUACCCUGGUAGUCCACGCUGUAAACGAUGGGUACUAGGUGUUGCGGGUAUUGACCCCUGCAGUGCCGGCGCUAACGCAAUAAGUACCCCGCCUGGGGAGUACGGCCGCAAGGCUAAAACUCAAAG